AGACUGUCCACCAAGAAUAGCUCCAUAAACCUGUGUGUUUCCCCUGUUUAAAUGUUCAAAGUGCAACGGAAUGUGUUUUAGGAACAGCACUAACAUAUGAUAAAGAUGCAUAUCUGAUAAAGACACAGCAGCAUUGAACUCUUGAUAUACCAGCAGUGACGCAUGAACAGGAGAGUAACUGAUGUGAAACGGAAUCAAACCAGUACAGAGGACACACAGUGUUGGACCAUGGCCUGCAAAGAUGUCUACAAGAGAAAGACAAAAAUUGCAGUGGAGCCUUAGUAGCAUUCUGGACAACUUCUGGUAAAAAAUGGUAAUAAUGGGUGAACCUGUCGUACAGCAUGUCGCAGUGACCCCCAAAGAAACAAGCUAUGUCAUUAACGUGAAUCUAAAUAAGAAAGAGACCCAUAUACAUGUUGCCGUUAAGCACAUCUGGCAGGAAAUACAUUAUGAGGCCAAACCUGACGGAACUUCACUUU